UCUCGAAGACGACAAAAGAGAAUUACAGAAAAAGGUACAAGCAAUCCAUAAAAAAAUUUCAAGGCACAAGAACAAAGUGGAAGAGGAGAGACUCACUCCAGAGAAAAGAAAAGUUAGAUCCAUGGUAGAGGCCUGCCCUGGUCCAGUUAGGGUCAGGGCGGGGAAAAAUGCGACAUUUCACAUACUUUGACUGUAAUUGAAAUAAAAGUCGGGUUUCCAUGCAUGAAAAUGUAUGUUUUCGAUGAAUCAUAAUUUCUGUAGUCGAAAUUGUGCGCAAACUAAAAUUCUUGAUGUGAUUUAUUACUAAUAGAAGAAUUUAAAUGUGACUAUUUCAGUAUUUGCUUACCGGGGAAAAAUGAGACACGCGUGGGGAAAAGUGAGACAGGCGGCCUAGCGUACAUUUCGGGGAAGAAGGAGACACUUCGGGUAAAAAUGAGACAGCCACUCGUGUGAGAGGCAGGGAGUAGCUGUGAGGGAACAACUAAACGCGCAGUGUUUGAGCCUGGCGCGCGUGAUCGAGAUCGAGCACUGCCAUCUAGCGGCCGGUGUCGGAAGCACGGCGAGGCCGGGCCGGCCGAUGCGAGGGCGAGAAGCAGAAAGUGAAGUGAGGGAAGAAGAUUGUAAGCGAGGAGGAAGGAAAGCUAGAAAGAAAGGAAAAUAUGCUAGUGGAUUGUUAAGACAAUUUCGUAGACUUUCCAUCCAUCCACCAUGCGCGAAUCUUUAACGACUGUUUUAGAGCACCGAGUGUGUUUUCAAUAUACCAGCGAAGCCACAGAGCCAUAGUCGAAAGCUACAGGAAUGGCAUAGUAAUUAGUCAAAAGAAGCGAGUCAGGUAGACCACGAACAUUGGAGUGACAUUCGAUGUGGCCUCCAGGUUCUCACGAAACAUCACGGUCGUGCUUUUAACCUCAACUGGUCGAGCACAAUCUUCUCCCAUUCAAAUGACUUUAGGACCUGAGCUGAGGUGAUAUCGUAACCGAUGGUCUCACAUUAGUAAAGUGUAAACUGCACAAUACGUUCUGUAUGUACUGAUUGUACUAAAGUUUGAUUAAUCAGAAAUAAAAGUAUUUAUUUAUGCAAGUAUUUACAUUACUCAAAGUAAUGACAUUUCUCAUUAAAACAUAAACGCACUCAUUGCAGGACUGGGAAAGAUUUACUUCACUUCCUC